CCUACGGGAGGCAGCAGUGAGGAAUAUUGGUCAAUGGCCGGGAGUCUGAACCAGCCAAGUCGCGUGAGGGAAGACGGCCCUACGGGUUGUAAACCUCUUUUGUCUGGGAGUAAGGUGUUGCUCGUGACCUGUUUUGUGUGUACCCUAUGAAUAAGCAUCGGCUAACUCCGUGCCAGCAGCCGCGGUAAUACGGAGGAUCCGAGCGUUAUCCGGAUUUAUUGGGUUUAAAGGGUGCGUAGGUGGAGUGCAAAGUCAGGCGGUAAAGUUGGCGGCUCAACCCCACACUUGCCGUUGAACCUGGGAGCCUGGAGUGCAGGAGGGGUAGGCGGAAGGCGUGGUGUAGCGGUGAAAUGCAUAGAUAUCACGCAGAACUCCGAUCGCGAAGGCAGCCUACCGGAGGGCAACUGACGCUCAUGCACGAAAGCGUGGGUAUCGAACAGGAUUAGAUACCCGUGUAGUC
rnacentral:rRNA from 1 species